ensembl:lncRNA
UUUCUGCCUCCCUUGGGCACACUCUAAAAGGUGGUGACCUUUCUUUCCUAAAAUGUGACCACUCACUGACGCAAACAGAAAGAAAGAAUUUUACAAAGAAGAACACAUGUUUGCAGCAGUCUUUUGGCUUCAGGAUUUAACUGAAGUUUUUCAACUUGACGCAUGGAAGAAUCAAAACCAGAAGAAUGGAGAAUGUGUAACAAAAGGAGCACAGUGUUAAUGUUUAUGAAAAAGGACGGUGGGAAUCUUCUCAGCAAAGGUUUUUUUGUUCCAAUUUCUGACAUGAACUAUGAAGAAAGCUGUAUCUGCUCAAGAUCCCAUGCCGCAGAUUUAUGUAGCUGAAACUGCUGAAAACUCACUGCUAAAACAAAGAGGGGAAAAGGCUGAUUUCCAGAUUUUUAUAAGAUAAACAUCAAACAAAUUCCCAAGCGAAUGGAUUGCAAUGCCUCUAAAAACACGUGGAAACAAGGAUUACUUCUGUUCAGGAACAAGACAAGUGAAGGACAUUUUGCAGGAGCCAAAUUCCAGACAACUGAUCCGACCGAAAAACUAACCCCGGUGGUAUGUUUUGGUGAGAUAAGUUCCUCGGUCUGAUUCAUCACCCAGAGGCACAAGGGCAGUGGCACAAGGAAGGGGUGGCUGUAGUGGGAGCAAGGAAUGUCACGGUGUCUGCUUCAGCUACCCGCAAUGCUGACAGGCUGGUCCCGCUGAUUUCUUCAUCCCAGGGCAGGCUUCACUUGGACACGGGGUCUGGGAUGGACAGGGUGCUACUACAUACGUCAUUAAAGACCCAACUCCCUGGCUCUGAUCAAAUAGCAAAGAUCUCAGCAGGAAUGGAUUUGUGAACAUGAGUAUCACAGCAGGGUUCUGAUGGGACUGCGCAGGAUGGAGGAAGAAGGAUGGACAAGAUUGGACAAGCAGAUGACAGAACAGGGUUGCUCAGCCCAUGCUAUGCCAAAUGUAUUGCAGUAUUGUUUUCUUUUUUUCUCAUUAGUCAUAUUGUUUGCUGUUCAUUAAGGGAAAAGCAGCUUUCAGUGGAACUUACCUAAAAAAGCAUGUGUCUCAGGAGGAGAGCAGCAGAGCAUAGAUCAGAAUUAGGAGAACAAGGCAACUGAGGGGCAAACAGUUUUGGCAGGAAGGUUUUUGGUUGGAAGGUAAGCAGGAGACAGGGAGGGAAAAGAAGGGCACAGGAAGCAAGGAUGAGAUGGAAGGACAGAGACAAGACCUAAGGGUAUAUUCACAUCAUACUAGCUGGGUUGCUGUAAACAACAAUGUGAGUAUUCUAGCUCAGCAAUCCAUCUCAUUGUUACACCUACCUGCUUAGCAAGCUGCUAGGUGUGCUCUGUAGGUGUAACCUGAAUUGUGUUGGCCAUGCAAAGCAAAACAAAGACCUUCAGGAUGCCUCAGGAGGUGAGGGGAGAGCAAAGAAAGGCACUUAAACCUGAGGAGAAGUAAAUAGCUGGCUGAGAGAUGGAUUUUAUGGCUGGUCAACAUUUAUUAUGGAGAACAGGAGAGAGUUUGUGUGGCUCAAGACAAAACUUUUUUUCUGAUUUUUUUAAUGCAUUGGCCACCCAGAGAUCACAGCGAGAAGC